rnacentral:rRNA from 1 species
CCUACGGGGGGCAGCAGUGGGGAAUAUUGGACAAUGGGGGGAACCCUGAUCCAGCCAUGCCGCGUGUGUGAAGAAGGCCCUCGGGUUGUAAAGCACUUUCAGUGAGGAAGAACGCCUGGUGGUUAAUACCCAUCAGGAAAGACAUCACUCACAGAAGAAGCACCGGCUAACUCCGUGCCAGCAGCCGCGGUAAUACGGAGGGGGCGAGCGUUAAUCGGAAUUACUGGGCGUAAAGCGCGCGUAGGUGGCUUGAUAAGCCGGUUGUGAAAGCCCCGGGCUCAACCUGGGAACGGCAUCCGGAACUGUCAAGCUAGAGUGCAGGAGAGGAAGGUAGAAUUCCCGGUGUAGCGGUGAAAUGCGUAGAGAUCGGGAGGAAUACCAGUGGCGAAGGCGGCCUUCUGGACUGACACUGACACUGAGGUGCGAAAGCGUGGGUAGCAAACAGGAUUAGAUACCCCAGUAGUC